rnacentral:tRNA from 1 species
GGCCGCCUGGCGAAAUGGCAUCGCGUCUGAUUACGAAUCAGGAGAUUGCAGGUUCGACCCCUGCGGUGGUCA